rfam:Populus trichocarpa scaffold_13_contig_190, whole genome shotgun sequence.
UCUAUAACUCGAGAUAUGGGCUGAAUACUAAACAACAUCUAGGCUAUAUGUCAGAUUCCGACUUCUCCAUUGUUGCUACCAUUUGAACUCGAAAAUGGCACUUUUAAAUAUUGGACUCUUCAUGAAAGUUUUAGGCCUAUGUCUUAGCUUUCCAUA